AAAAAAAGAAUCAAAGAAAAAGAAAAGAAAAAGAAAGUCAACUCGACUUCACACUGAAGUUCAUGCAGUUUUUUGUCUUUCCGUGUUUCUCCUUG
rnacentral:ribozyme from 16 species